rnacentral:rRNA from 1 species
GACGAACGCUGGCGGCGUGCUUAACACAUGCAAGUCGAACGGAAAGGCCCUGCUUUUGUGGGGUGCUCGAGUGGCGAACGGGCGAGUAACACGUGAGUAACCUGCCCUUGACUUUGGGAUAACUUCAGAAAACUGGGGCUAAUACCGGAUAGGAGCUCCUGCUGCAUGGUGGGGGUUGGAAAGUUUCGGCGGUUGGGGAUGGACUCGCGGCUUAUCAGCUUGUUGGUGGGGUAGUGGCUUACCAAGGCUUUGACGGGUAGCCGGCCUUAGAGGGUGACCAGCCACAUUGGGACUGAGGUACGGCCCAGACUCCUACGGGAGGCAGCAGUGGGGAAUAUUGCACAAUGGGCGGAAGCCUGAUGCAGCAACGCCGCGUGCGGGAUGACGGCCUUCGGGUUGUAAACCGCUUUCGCCUGUGACGAAGCGUGAGUGACGGUAAUGGGUAAAGAAGCACCGGCUAACUACGUG